CUCGCCAGGGGACUACGAGCCAGGGCUUACUUCAAAAGUAAGAUUUAAUGCUUAAAACCCAAAGGACUUGGCGGUGCUUUACACCCCCCUAGAGGAGCCUGUUAUAGAAUCGAUACCCCCCGCUAAACCUUACCCUUUCUUGCAAAUUCAGCCUGUAUACCGCCGUCGUCAGUUUACCCUGUGAAGGACCAAUAGUAGACAAAAUUGUACUUAGCCAAAAUGACAGGUCAAGGUGCAGCGAAUGAAAGGGAAUUUAAAUGGGCUACAUUUACUGGACCAGUAAAUUACGGAUGUUUGUUAUGAAAACACAACUGAAGGUGGAUUUAGUAGUAAGAAAAUGAGAAGAGUGCUUUUCUGAAUAUUUAAGGCUAUGAAGCGCGCACACACCGCCCGUCACCCUCCCCAACCGUUUAUUAUCCCCGUGCUAUUUAAUGCACGUGAUAGAACUAUCAAAUUUAUAAUUAGAUACUUGGCCCACUGGGGAGGCAAGUCGUAACAUGGUAAGUGUACUGGAAAGUGUACUUGUGUAAACCC
rnacentral:rRNA from 1 species